rnacentral:rRNA from 1 species
CAGGCCUAACACAUGCAAGUCGAACGGUAACAGGUCUUCGGAUGCUGACGAGUGGCGAACGGGUGAGUAAUACAUCGGAACGUGCCCAAUCGUGGGGGAUAACACAUCGAAAGAUGUGCUAAUACCGCAUAAGAUCUACGGAUGAAAGCGGGGGAUCGCAAGACCUCGCGCGAAUGGAGCGGCCGAUGGCAGAUUAGGUAGUUGGUGGGGUAAAGGCCUACCAAGCCGACGAUCUGUAGCUGGUCUGAGAGGACGACCAGCCACACUGGGACUGAGACACGGCCCAGACUCCUACGGGAGGCAGCAGUGGGGAAUUUUGGACAAUGGGCGCAAGCCUGAUCCAGCAAUGCCGCGUGCAGGAUGAAGGCCUUCGGGUUGUAAACUGCUUUUGUACGGAGCGAAAAGGUUUUCUCUAAUACAGAAGGCCCAUGACGGUACCGUAAGAAUAAGCACCGGCUAUUCUG